rnacentral:tRNA from 2 species
GCCACUGUGGCUUAGUUGGUAGAGCAUCUGAUUCGUAAUCAGAAGGUCGGGAGUUCGAAUCUCCCCAGUGGCU